rnacentral:rRNA from 1 species
UGAAGCUGGAAUUGCUAGUAAUCACAGGUCAGCAUACUGUGGUGAAUACGUUCCCGGGCCUUGUACACACCGCCCGUCACACCAUGAGAGUUGGGGAUACCCGAAGCCUGUGAGCUAACUUUUAGAGGCAGCAGUCGAAGGUAGAAUCAAUGAUUGGGGUGAAGUCGUAACAAGGUAUC